rnacentral:rRNA from 1 species
AUCAACCGAGAUUCCCCCAGUAGCGGCGAGCGAACGGGGAGGAGCCCAGAGCCUGAAUCAGUGUGUGUGUUAGUGGAAGCGUCUGGAAAGGCGUGCGAUACAGGGUGACAGCCCCGUACACAAAAAUGCACAUAUUGUGAGCUCGAUGAGUAGGGCGGGACACGUGGUAUCCUGUCUGAAUAUGGGGGGACCAUCCUCCAAGGCUAAAUACUCCUGACUGACCGAUAGUGAACCAGUACCGUGAGGGAAAGGCGAAAAGAACCCCGGCGAGGGGAGUGAAAAAGAACCUGAAACCGUGUACGUACAAGCAGUGGGAGCCUCUUAAUGGGGUGACUGCGUACCUUUUGUAUAAUGGGUCAGCGACUUAUAUUCUGUAGCAAGGUUAACCGAAUAGGGGAGCCGAAGGGAAACCGAGUCUUAACUGGGCGUUAAGUUGCAGGGUAUAGACCCGAAACCCGGUGAUCUAGCCAUGGGCAGGUUGAAGGUUGGGUAACACUAACUGGAGGACCGAACCGACUAAUGUUGAAAAAUUAGCGGAUGACUUGUGGCUGGGGGUGAAAGGCCAAUCAAACCGGGAGAUAGCUGGUUCUCCCCGAAAGCUAUUUAGGUAGCGCCUCGUGAAUUCAUCUCCGGGGGUAGAGCACUGUUUCGGCAAGGGGGUCAUCCCGACUUACCAACCCGAUGCAAACUGCGAAUACCGGAGAAUGUUAUCACGGGAGACACACGGCGGGUGCUAACGUCCGUCGUGAAGAGGGAAACAACCCAGACCGCCAGCUAAGGUCCCAAAGUCAUGGUUAAGUGGGAAACGAUGUGGGAAGGCCCAGACAGCCAGGAUGUUGGCUUAGAAGCAGCCAUCAUUUAAAGAAAGCGUAAUAGCUCACUGGUCGAGUCGGCCUGCGCGGAAGAUGUAACGGGGCUAAACCAUGCACCGAAGCUGCGGCAGCGACACUAUGUGUUGUUGGGUAGGGGAGCGUUCUGUAAGCCUGUGAAGGUGGCCUGUGAGGGUUGCUGGAGGUAUCAGAAGUGCGAAUGCUGACAUAAGUAACGAUAAAGCGGGUGAAAAGCCCGCUCGCCGGAAGACCAAGGGUUCCUGUCCAACGUUAAUCGGGGCAGGGUGAGUCGACCCCUAAGGCGAGGCCGAAAGGCGUAGUCGAUGGGAAACAGGUUAAUAUUCCUGUACUUGGUGUUACUGCGAAGGGGGGACGGAGAAGGCUAUGUUGGCCGGGCGACGGUUGUCCCGGUUUAAGCGUGUAGGCUGGUUUUCCAGGCAAAUCCGGAAAACC